GGGAAUAUUGGACAAUGGGCGAAAGCCUGAUGCAGCAACGCCGCGUGUGUGAUGAAGGUUUUCGGAUCGUAAAGCACUUUCGACCGGGACGAAAACCCGCUGGCUAAUAUCCAGCGGUUUGACUGUACCGGGAGCAGAAGCACCGGCUAACUUCGUGCCAGCAGCCGCGGUAAGACGAGGGAUCCUAGCGUUGUUCGGAAUCAUUGGGCGUAAAGCGGGUGUAGGCGGGCUUCUAAGUCAGGUGUGAAAUCCCAGGGCUCAACCCUGGAAGUGCACUUGAUACUGGAAGUCUUGAGUGUGGUAGAGGCUAUUAGAAUUCUUGGUGUAGUGGUGAAAUACGUAGAUAUCAAGAGGAAUACCGGAGGCGAAGGCGGAUAGCUGGGCCAACACUGACGCUGAGACCCGAAAGCGUGGGGAUCAAAC
rnacentral:rRNA from 1 species